rnacentral:rRNA from 1 species
UGACUAGCGGCGGACGGGUGAGUAAUGUCUGGGAAACUGCCUGAUGGAGGGGGAUAACUACUGGAAACGGUAGCUAAUACCGCAUAACGUCGCAAGACCAAAGAGGGGGACCUUCGGGCCUCUUGCCAUCGGAUGUGCCCAGAUGGGAUUAGCUAGUAGGUGGGGUAACGGCUCACCUAGGCGACGAUCCCUAGCUGGUCUGAGAGGAUGACCAGCCACACUGGAACUGAGACACGGUCCAGACUCCUACGGGAGGCAGCAGUGGGGAAUAUUGCACAAUGGGCGCAAGCCUGAUGCAGCCAUGCCGCGUGUAUGAAGAAGGCCUUCGGGUUGUAAAGUACUUUCAGCGGGGAGGAAGGCGACAGGGUUAAUAACCCUGUCGAUUGACGUUACCCGCAGAAGAAGCACCGGCUAACUCCGUGCCAGCAGCCGCGGUAAUACGGAGGGUGCAAGCGUUAAUCGGAAUUACUGGGCGUAAAGCGCACGCAGGCGGUCUGUCAAGUCGGAUGUGAAAUCCCCGGGCUCAACCUGGGAACUGCAUUCGAAACUGGCAGGCUAGAGUCUUGUAGAGGGGGGGUAGAAUUCCAGGUGUAG